rnacentral:rRNA from 1 species
ACUCCUACGGGAGGCAGCAGUGGGGAAUAUUGCACAAUGGGCGCAAGCCUGAUGCAGCCAUGCCGCGUGUAUGAAGAAGGCCUUCGGGUUGUAAAGUACUUUCAGCAGUGAGGAAGGUGGAUAUGUUAAUAGCAUAUUCAUUUGACGUUAGCUGCAGAAGAAGCACCGGCUAACUCCGUGCCAGCAGCCGCGGUAAUACGGAGGGUGCGAGCGUUAAUCGGAAUUACUGGGCGUAAAGCGCAUGCAGGUGGUUUGUUAAGUCAGAUGUGAAAGCCCGGGGCUCAACCUCGGAAUUGCAUUUGAAACUGGCAAACUGAGUACUGUAGAGGGGGGUAGAAUUUCAGGUGUAGCGGUGAAAUGUGUAGAGAUCUGAAGGAUACCGGUGGCGAAGGCGGCCCCCUGGACAGAUACUGACACUCAGAUGCGAAAGCGUGGGGAGCAAACAGGAUUAGAUACCCUGGUAGCUCUGC